GACGAACGCUGGCGGCGUGCUUAACACAUGCAAGUCGAGCGGUAAGGCCCUUUCGGGGGUACACGAGCGGCGAACGGGUGAGUAACACGUGGGUGACCUGCCCUCAGCUCUGGGAUAAGCCUGGGAAACCGGGUCUAAUACUGGAUAUGACUCCAUGACGCAUGUUGUGGGGUGGAAAGCCUUGUGCGGCUGAGGAUGGGCCCGCGGCCUAUCAGCUUGUUGGUGGGGUGAUGGCCUACCAAGGCGACGACGGGUAGCCGGCCUGAGAGGGCGACCGGCCACACUGGGACUGAGACACGGCCCAGACUCCUACGGGAGGCAGCAGUGGGGAAUCUUGCGCAAUGGGCGAAAGCCUGGCGCAGCGACGCCGCGUGAGGGAUGACGGCCU
rnacentral:rRNA from 1 species